GGUACGAUUGUUUCUUCUCAAUAGAAACAGUUGUGAAUCUGCUGCUGGGAAACAACACCGGAUGGGAAAGUGCAACAAAAUGGAAGAAUUCAAGUCGCAUCUUAGCUGCGGUUCGAUUGUUGCUGCAGAGACAGGCCUCUGACUCGCCACUUUGGUUUUGGGCAAAAAGACUCACUGUCCAGUCUGUGGUCCUUCCACCACCGCUGCUGGCUGAGCGUGUGUCCCCCGCAGCGGCGAGACUGAGACGGCACGGUGAUAAAACUGCUGACAGGAACGCAGAACAAAUGGAGCCCAUAUAUAUAUAGAACAUGAGUACAUAUGUGGAAGGAUGACAUGUAUGGUCAGUUCCAGGACGUGUUUCUGUAUGAACUGUAUCUAUAUGUGACAGACAUAAACCAAGGAAGUAUUUAGACUGAGGUUAACAAGAGAAAUGGUGAAAGGAUGGAGACGUGAAGAAAGAAACAAACACAGAGAGAGAGAAAUGUAGUCUUCAUGUGCCAAUGAAAAUACUCUUAGAGCAACAUGAACAAAAUGAAUGAACCUAAGUUGUCAGAUUAUGCAUGUAUGAACAAUAUGAAGAGAUGCCACCCACAGUGAGAAGAUCCUCUCUGACAGUCAUGGUGAGGUCCCUGCGUAGACUGCUCUGUUUGCCUGGCUGUAGUAACUGUAGUACAAAGUAAUUAGAGACCAUCUCCAGUAGGUCACAGUUUAGUCUGUAGUGGCCUUGAAAGAGACAGAGUGGGAGUGAGUGCACAAAGAAGAAGGUGAGAAGAAAAACGGAUAGGGAAAUGAAAGAAGAGGAAAAAGAGAUGCUUCAUUCUGGAGCAGAAUUACG